UACGUAGGGCGCAAGCGUUAUCCGGAAUUAUUGGGCGUAAAGAGCUCGUAGGCGGUUUGUCGCGUCUGCCGUGAAAGUCCGGGGCUCAACUCCGGAUCUGCGGUGGGUACGGGCAGACUAGAGUGAUGUAGGGGAGACUGGAAUUCCUGGUGUAGCGGUGAAAUGCGCAGAUAUCAGGAGGAACACCGGUGGCGAAGGCGGAUCUCUGGAACGGUACUGACGCUGAGACGCGAAAGCGUGGGGAGCGAACAGG
rnacentral:rRNA from 1 species